GCCACUUCAUUAAUAUUUCAAGGCCACAAACUAAGUAUCUCAUUGUCAUAAAUUAUUAUGAUACCAUACCAGUGGCCAUGAAUUGUGUAACCUGAGCCCAAGGCUUAAUAUGUUGUACUAGAUGUUUUGCGAGAUUUGAGAUUUGAGAUCUGAGAUUUUAGCAUAGAUGUUCGUGUCGCACAUCAUAAAAGACAAUCUUAGCAGCUGUUAAUUUUAUUUGUUGUAUUUUAAUUUUUGACACUAUUUUCUUCCUCCGGGUUUAAAAUCAUAAUCAUGGGGCACGUCACGGUACUAUAGUACUUCGAUGAUGCAUCGGUGUCUCAUAAUUAUUCAUGAGCCUUCGUGCUCUUAUCCUAUGAGAAGAUGCUGUCUCUUAAUUAUUCAUGACAGCACGUGGUGCUUUCCUACAGAUGUACUAGAUGAGAGAGCCGUUCAAAUGGGUCGCAAGUGUUUGUUUCAGUGGAGAGCUAUGCGAACUGGAGAAAGGUGGACUUGCUCAUGAAAGCAGUUUGCGUCUACACAAUGAUGCGGUACUCAGUCCCAAGGACUUUUCCAUUCCUUAAAAUGAGCCAUCCAUGAUGAAAGAUCAGAGUCAGUAAAAUGAUCCGAACUUCCCAUCACUACUGGUCACUUUUUUAGCACCUCAGUCCUGGAGAGGGGGGAAAGAGAGUGUGUCAACAGAGGCAGGACACCCACACACAUUCACAAAUGUACGUGCGUACACACACACACACACACACGCACACACGCACAUACGCACAUACACAUGCUAACACUUUCCCUUCUGUUUUGUUCCAUAGUCUGUUCUUUUAUUUUUUGUUGCCUUGUUAACAUGUUGGGAAAAUAAAG
ensembl:lncRNA